GCCUUGUUAGCGCAGUGGUGUCGCGUCAGUCUCAUAAUCUGAAGGUUGUGAGUUCAAUCCUCACACAGGGCC